CCACUCGUGAGGUUGUUCAGGGUUCAUUUUCCCAUAUUGUAGAUUAGAAAUCACAGAUGAUAAUUUCCUAAGGUUACGACCAGGAGGCAGAUGGCAGUUAGAGUUUCACUUAGGUGAGUGUGGCUUGUUGCGUAUAGAAUUAGGAGGCCUUAAUUCCUCCUCCCUAAGCUUUAUUGUGGCUGUUACUUCUCUCUGUCUUUAGUUUGAAGAUUUUGGACUUGUUAGCUGCCAUGAUCAUGUGAGCCAAUCCUUAAACCAAAUCAGUCUCUCUCUCUCUAUAUAUACACACAUAUACAUAUAUAUAUGUAUACACACAAAUACUACAAAUACAGGCUGUGAUUGGAAAAAUUAAUUCUGAACAACCACAUGAGUGGUGCAUACGUAUAUCUAUUGCUAUCUAUCUAUCUAUGUAUCUCUGUACCCAUCCAUCCAUCCAUCCAUCCAUCCAUCCAUCACACAUCCUAUUGGUUCUGUUUCUCUGGAGAACCCUGGCUAAUAAACCCACUUUGAGUGAGGGCAGCAUCAUCUGUUGGCACAGGCAAGGCUCCCACCCAGCUGAGCUCCUUGGUCCCUCUGUAAGCUGGUUGUUUUUCUGGUGUCCUCCUUUUUUGGGGCAAAUGAAGAGGCAACAUCAUCCCUGCAUGCACUGCUUCCUGGAGAGUUUCUAUCUCGGAGAAAGAAUGAGUGUGCACGGAUACAGAUUGUCACUGGGCUAAGGGACGCCCAGAUAGCUGGUAACACGUGAUUUCUGGGUCUGCCUGUGAGGGUGCUUCUGGAGAGAUGAGCAUGUGUUUCAGGAGACGGAGUAGAGAGACCUGCCUUCACCACUGUGGGUGGGCAUCGCCAGAUCCAAUGGGGGCCCGAAUGGAACAAGUAGGUGAAGAAAGUUCCAAUUCCUCUUUCUCUUCUUGAACUAGGACGUCCAUCUUUUCCUGCUCUCAGACAUUGGGUCCCCCAGUUCUCAGGCCCUCAGUCUUGGACUGAAUCGUAGCACCAGCUCUCCUGUGUCUCCAGCUUGCAGACGGCAGAUUGCAGGACUUCUCGGCCUCCAUAACCGUAUGAGCCAAUCCCUAUUAUAAAUUCUCUCUUCUAUGUAUCCAUAUCUAUCCUAUAAACCUCCAGGUUUCUCUGGAGCCCCCUGGCUAAUACACAGAUGUUACUACCAACAGGAACAGAAUAGGUGGAAACGGGCAGAAUUUGGAGCCAAAGCACGUGGUGGAAGCUGCCUCAGGACUUCUGUGACCUCAGGUCCUCAGCACUUAUAAAGUUACAGGUGGGUGAUUUUGUAGACGGUUCUUCCACUUGGCUUCACCUGACGUUUCCUCAGGCCGUGCCUCGUUGUCAAGUCCACCGCAGAAGUGAUGGCAGGAGUGUGUCCUGUUGGGUGGCGCCUGAUCUCCGUAUGUCCUGUUAAGCUGGUGUCUGUUAGCUUCCCCACUGUUGGGUUUCUCCUUUCUUCUUUGUAAUUAAUAACUAUUUUGUGUGUAGAUGGACUCCGAAGUUAUGUAAAUAUCCCAUUCUUCAUCAUACUUUGAAUUUAUUCAUUCAGGAAUUUAAGUCCGUAGGGACCCAAGGCUUCCUAUUUCAUUCCAUGAGUUAUAAUCCAUUACUUUCAUUAUUUAUAUCAAUGCUCAAAUAGCCCCCGAUUUGGCCAGCAGAACCCUUCAGGCUGGCUUCCGGGUCCUUUCACGUGUGCGCAUCAUUGCUUGAGCAUUUCCUCACUUUCCCACCCCAAAGCGGGCCCCAAGUUCCUGUCGCACUUUCCAAUGCUGGAAUCAGCCAUUUCUCCCCGGAGAAAACUGCCUUUCUACUAGUGACAUCUACAUUCAUUCCUACGUCGAUCAUUCCUACGUCGACAUAUUGCAAACCAUAAGUUCACAGCGACACUUGCAACUCCGAUGAAUAACGCCGAGAUUACGCUCAUCUUCUCCUUUCCGUAUUUGUAACGUGCUCUAAUAUCGGUAAACCUGGCUCCCGUUACCCUCAAUAUCUUUGCUUAUUUGACCCAUCUGUCUCUUGUCCCUGCUGCUGUCCCCGACGUGGACGGGGAUGCCUCCUCACCCCGCAGGAGCUCCAACCUCCAAGGAGGAAGGAGGGAAAAAAGGAGGGAGAGGGAGGGAAUCUUCCCACCUUUCAGAGCAUCACAGUGUUGCCUUUUUAGAGUGUAUAAAGUCGAUGCAUGUGCGUGUUUGUGUGCUAAAAUUCUUACGGAGGAUGUAAAAUAUAAGUGAGAUGAAAGAAAAUGAUGUACGUUCAGGAAUAAAAGCGUUCUAGCAACUAACGCUCAAAUAAUUAUACCCCAAUUAUCCGCUGUGCGAAUCCCUGUAGAGGACUGGCAAGGGCCUCAGCCAAGGAUUAAAUGAACACAGAAGGCUGCCGCAGACGUCUCCCCGCCAGGCAGA
ensembl:lncRNA